GAAAUGCGAUAACUAAUGUGAAUUGCAGAAUUCAGUGAAUCAUCGAGUCUUUGAACGCACAUUGCGCCCCCUGGUAUUCCGGGGGGCAUGCCUGUCCGAGCGUCAUUGCUGCCCUCAAGCCCGGCUUGUGUGUUGGGUCGCCGUCCCCCUCUCCGGGGGGACGGGCCCGAAAGGCAGCGGCGGCACCGCGUCCGAUCCUCGAGCGUAUGGGGCUUUGUCACAUGCUCUGUAGGAUUGGCCGGUGCCUGCCGACGUUUUCCAACCAUUCUUUCCAGGUUGACCUCGGAUCAGGUAGGGAUACCCGCUGAACUUAAGC
rnacentral:misc_RNA from 1 species